rnacentral:piRNA from 1 species
GGUGUUAUCGAUAGGACAGAUGAAGGU